UACGUAGGGGGCGAGCGUUGUCCGGAAUCAUUGGGCGUAAAGAGCUCGUAGGCGGUUCAGCAAGUCGGCUGUGAAAUUCCGAGGCUCAACCUCGGAACUGCAGUCGAUACUGCUGUGACUCGAGUACGGUAGAGGAGAAUGGAAUUCCCGGUGUAGCGGUGAAAUGCGCAGAUAUCGGGAGGAACACCAGUAGCGAAGGCGGUUCUCUGGGCCGGUACUGACGCUGAGGUGCGAAAGCGUGGGGAGCAAACAGG
rnacentral:rRNA from 1 species